GACGAACGCUGGCGGCGUGCUUAACACAUGCAAGUCGAACGCAGUGGCGAACGGGUGAGUAACGCGUAAUCAACCUGCCCUUCAGAGGGGGACAACAGUUGGAAACGACUGCUAAUACCGCAUACGGAAGGAGGGGAUUGCGUCGGAUUAGCUAGUGGGAGGGGUAACGGCCCACCAAGGCGAUGAUCAGUAGCCGGUCUGAGAGGAUGAACGGCCACAUUUGGACUGGGACACGGCCCAGACUUCUACGGGAGGCCGCAAUGGGUAAUCUUCCGCAAUGGACGAAAGUCUGACGGAGCAACGCCGCGUGAGUGAUGACGGCCUUCGGGUUGUAAAGCUCUGUUAAUCGGGACGCGGUACCGGAAUAGAAAGCCACGGCUAACUACGUGCCAGCAGCCGCGGUAAUAC
rnacentral:rRNA from 1 species